CUACAAACAGGCGAAUCCGCCAUCAACAACUUCUUACUACUUCACUUUCUCAUUAACUUUCAGUUAUUAAUAAUUUAAUUAGUUAUUAGUAGCAAGAGCCACAAUUAAUCCUAUCCCUCCUCCAUUUCCUCGCAAUCCUUCCCAAAUUUCUUCACAAAAGAACCCUAAUCUACCCCAUUCACAUUUCCUCCUAUUUUCACUGUUGUUUUCAAACCACCUUCUUCACGUUUUCUUCCUCGACUUUGACAAAGUCUUGAGUUGUAGUUGAUCACACACACAUAUAUAUAUAUAAAGCUCAAAACCUUUGCUUCAACUUUCAGAAUUGACCCAAAACGUAAUGCUCUAAUCCCAUUCCAGCAAAGGGUUUCUCUCCUCUCUCUCCUCCAUGAGCGACUCUAACAUCUCUUCCUCUUCCUCUGAUUCUGCCUCCAUCGCCACCGUCGAUCAGAAUGUAGGGAGGAAUGAAAGAAUUAUAGAUGCUGAUCAAACGUUUUCUCCAGAGUUGCGUCAUUGGCGUGAUGUUUUCUGGUUAGCAAUAUUCAUAAUUCAUUUGAUUGUGUUAGGAGUUUUGCUCGCCAUUUUUGGACUCAAUAGGUUUAAGACAGCAGAUAGGCUAAACAUUGAUAGAUAUACUGAAGGGUUUUGGGAGAAUAAUAACGGAUUGACGGAGACUUAUUGGCCCAAGUAUGCUGUUGCCGGUGGGGUUGGUACCAGUCUUGGAUGUAUUUGGUUGUUGUUGCUUGGUUCACGCGCUAACCAAAUGAUGAAGGUUUCAGUUCAUAUUUUGACAACAUACCUUGCUGUGAUUAGUGUUUUAUGUUUCUGGUGCGAACAAUUUUUCUGGGGCGUGGCCUUUGCAACUGGUGCUGCGCUGCAGUUCUUGUAUGUUAUAGCAGUUAUAGACAGACUUCCAUUCACCAUGCUGGUCUUGCAAAAAGCUGUUAAACUGGUAUGGAGUCUUCCUGAAGUUACAAGAGUAGCAUAUGCAUUUAUGGCAGUCCUGCUUUUAUGGAUGGGCAUAUGGUCUUUUGGAGCGGCUGGUGUGGUGGCUUCAAGCAGGGGUGACCUAGGACGCUGGUGGCUUCUUGUGGUUCUCUCUGUAAGCUUAUUUUGGACUGGUGCUGUCCUCUGCAAUACUGUACAUGUUAUAGUGUCUGGGCUUGUGUUUCUCGUGCUUCUUCAUGGUGGUCGAAAUGCUUCAUCAAUGCCUCCCAACUCAUUGAUGAAAUCCCUACGAUAUGCUGUAACAACAUCCUUUGGAAGCAUUUGUUACGGGUCACUUUUCACAGCUGCUAUUCGGACUCUGCGAUGGGAAAUCAGGGGAUUCCGGUCCAAAAUUGGCAACAAUGAGUGCUUGCUUUGCUGCGUUGAUUUUUUGUUUCAGCUUGUGGAGACCCUUGUUCGAUUUUUCAACAAGUAUGCCUACGUCCAGAUAGCUGUUUAUGGGAAAGGUUUUAACCGAUCGGCAAGGGAUGCCUGGGAGUUAUUCCAGUCAACUGGAGUUGAAGCACUAGUUGCCUAUGAUUGUUCGGGUGCUGUUCUGCUGAUGGGUACUAUCUUGGGUGGUCUUAUCACUGGAACUUGUGCUGGUGUUUGGACUUGGAUUACUUGGAGGGACAGAGUGAUCAUGGUGGGGUCAACUGCAAUGUUGAUGGGAAUGGUCUUGGUGGGACUUGCAAUGGUGGUUGUUGAAAGUGCCGUUACAUCUAUAUACAUCUGUUAUGCAGAAGACCCUUCCUUGAUUCGAAGAUGGGAUCCUCAGUUCUUUAACCAAAUGUCGGAGACGCUGCACCAGCGUCUGCAACAUAGGAGUGCACGAGCCAGGGAAGUAUUGACUCAGAACCAGCUUGACAGCCACAUGCAAGAUACAUUCCAUCAAGUGGACUUGAUUAAAGGCUCGGCUUUGUUUAGGAGUCAGAAGGUCAAGGCUCAUGUCAUGCGUCACUCAGAUAGGAGUUGGAUAUCAAUGCAAAAAGUGGAGGAGCUGAACCCUGGGGCUGGAUAUGCACAGAUAUUGGGGCGAAACACAAGCUUACCUUUUGUAUACACUAGAGAAAAUGAAUUGUGAGGAUCCAUGAGUGUUUCAACCAUCGUUUAGAUGCAGAAGUGCUUUGCCAAUUGGUCUGAUGAUGGUUAACCAACAAAUACAGCUUCCGAUUCCUUUGCUUUUACGCCUCUUCCUUUUGUACGCAUACUUUGAGGAGAGUGCUUCUUUUAUUAAUAUCACCCUUGCUUUGCUUUGGAUACUACAGCUUUUAAAGAAGAAGGCAAAGACCAAGAAGGUACUGUUAGGCGGAAUUAAAUUAUUGGAUGACAUCUCAUCACCGUCACAUCAUUAAGCCGCGCAGACACUCUUCCCCAGGGCUAUUAAGAAGAGUCGUCUACUGUAGAGAGAGAUAAGAAGAAUAUAAUAAUAGAAGAAAAGGAAUCCCAGCCUUAGCUAGCUCUUCCCUUCCCUGAGCCUACUACUAAAACAGCCAGUAGCCGCAUUGCACACACUUCCUCUUCAUCAAGUCUAGAGCAAAGAAAGAAUCAUCUCAUAUGCCCGGCAGAGAGAUGACCAAUAGGGUUUUGGCCUUUUGGGAGAGGGGAGUUUCUUGUCUUGGGCAGUGGGCUUCUUUACUACUCACUCGUACGUACAGAGCGUGCAAAAAUGAAGAUCACGACACCAGCCUCAAAUGCAUUGCUAGUCUUUACUAUAGUAUUUUUGGUGCAUGCAUGUAAAUACUUAAUCUUUGUACUUACUCAACACUGAAAUUAAGCCUAGCGUUUCCCCUCAGAGUAAGGUCACUGUUGUAUGGGAGCUUUUCCCAACUGCCUCACACUGUAGUGUCAGGGUUCAAAUUUCGGUUCUUGAUCAUGAAUUUUUAUCUACUUUGAUAACUGUUGUGUUGUA